ensembl:lncRNA
CAGACAUAAUCUUGUUCUUGGAAUUAGCUUUUAAUUUAUUACAAUUUAUCAUUUUAGCCAGUUCUAAUGAAAAACCCAAUGCUAAAUAACAUUACAUCAAUAAUUUAAUCAAAAUCACUCCCCAGUAUAUGUUUAUAUUUUAGUUCUGGUAUUUAAUAUCUAGGUAUGCCUAGUCUGUAAAGGCAGUGGGACACAAGGUACACACAAUUUAAGGCCAAUGCAUGUGAGGUGCUGCUGGUGGGGCCUGGAAACAUCAUGUAAUGCACAGGAUGCAAACUCAGUUGCAAAGUACUGAAAUCAAAAUCUGCUUUACUAACUUACUGUUGACAAGCUGUACAAAGCAUAGAAAUAAUAACUACAGAUAUUUUUCUUUUAUCUAUGUAACUAAUUUUGGUUAGUUUAGACUUGACAUCCCUGCUUUUUAUUUCAAAGAAGGAUCAUAAGAUUGAAAGAAAAAAGGACUAAGUCUUCAAUGAAUAUAAAACAAUAGUGAUUUAUACUGUCCUGUGAAUCUUUUUUUUUUUUUCCUGCUCUGAUUUUUACAUUUUCCCCUGAUGUUCUGACUAGCAAAAUGCCACCACCAGUUUGAAGAGAGACAAACUUAUUCCAUUAUGACACAGCAGCUAUGACAACCUCUUUUAUUGUUGCUUAAUGGUAUGUUCAAGAAUGUCAAAACAGCUUCCAAAUAUUUCUGGUUUGCUGUCUCAGGGACAUGAAAACAGCAGCUUCACAUGAAAUAUUAUUCAGAACAGCUUAAUACUUUGAGAGCAUUUCUUGGCAUUGGUUUUCAGAGGAUCCUGAGCUUGCACUCCCACACAAAUCCCAUUUUUAUCUGCCACUGCUCUGGAGAGAGGCUGAGAUGAAAAGUGUGUUGUGAAAAGGAGAUUCAGGACUGCCAUUCCCUGGAUUUAAAUUAUGAAUAACCAUGAUCCACACACCACCAACCAUGUUCUGUUUUGGGUGCAUGUUCAUCUCAGCUCUCAGUGAGGCACAGGAACAGCAAGAGCAUAUCCUGAGCCUAGGAGAUGGACCUUUGCCUAAAUCUAAUCCUGAGUCAGAUCAGAACACUGAACCCUUGACCCUGCUUCAUGCACCUGGCUUUGGUGAGUAUGGUUCUCAAGUGAGAUGAAAGAACUGUGGAACAGAAAUUCCAUGGGAAAUACAUGCCUAAUAGUAUAAAAGAGGUUAGUGUUAUUUUCAUUUCAACAGUCCUUGAUGGAUUUUCCUUUGUUAGGUUAAGAAAUGAAUAUUGGCAUUUCCCUGUUCCCUUUACCUGAUUCAAGUGCCUUGUGGGUUAUAUAAAAGAUCAGGAGUAGUAUUUUCCAGGUCAGUAGUUAAAUACUGCUCUGGUUCUAGUUGUAUUUUUCCAUAUUCUAUCAGCAGGAAAAUUUAUCCCAGAAGAGAACAAACAGAAAUAUGACAGAAAGAACUUACUUACUGUCUGGUAUGCACCUUGCUUAUCUCCCUUUUUUUUUUUUUCCUUUUUUUUUUUUUUUUUUAAGAAUGAUAUGCUAUAGAGUGACACCACUUUGAACAUGUUUUCCCAUCACUGCUCUACCAGCUCUCAAAACUGCUUUUGUUUGGAUAUUGUUAUUAUCUGCUAGACACUGAUAGGAAUGUGGAGUCACUCACUGAGAAAGGGAAACAUGGUUCUCAUUCAGAAGGAAUGCAGCUUCAGCCAUGCUGUCUACAGCUCUGUUCUAUUUGAUGUCGAGCCGCGGGAUCUUGUGGCAGUAAAAAUCAUUGUGAUUUAUAGGAAAAUGUCACUCCGGCUGUCUCCUCUAUAAAAUCUUUUUACUACUCUUAUUGAAUAUAAAUCAGAAUUAUUUGUCCAACAAUAUCAUAGUUUUGGCAAAAUGUUGUGAAGACAAAAAAUAAUCAUGUUCAAAUUGCCUUGGCUUUAUUCUACAGAGAGAUAUUACUGGAAUCUAUUGCCUUGCCAAGAUCAAUAUCCUUGUCCUUAAAAAUAGGUGUGUGUAACUGUAUGUCUAAAUUGAUAUCCAAACUAAUUUAAGGAUGUUAACCAUGAAGAUUACCUUCAAAUUGCAAUCACAAUAGAUCUAAAUGCUUGAAAUGAAGGUGACAGAAUUUCAAAAUUCCACUCUGACUAUAUUUGUAUCACUAGACUU